UCCUGGCCUCCCAUGGCUCUCCUCCGUCUACUACUUUCCAAUCCAGACUUGCUUAUCUUCUCAUCAACACUCUAGCAUGACAUACUCAUUUCUUGGAAGAUUCCUUACAUUCUUAUGCCCUCUGAGAUGCUUUCGUGCAUAUCCAAACCACUUGUUCUUCAUUAGAGAAAUAUUGAUCAAGGGCCUAUUCAGACAUAGGAAACAUGUAGAACACUAUGAUGGGGGGCGGGGGCAGGGGGGCGGAAAGCAUGGUCUCUGCCCUUACAGAGCUUGCGGUCUAGAGGGAGAAGUGGACAUUUACCGAGUAGUCACGAACAUGGCAAGUUUUUAGCACACAGAUGUCAAGUCUAUAAAUGUUAGCUACUAGUAUGUUGAUGACGAAGUGAUGAUGAUCACCAGGAGGAUCCAGCCAAUUCCCAUUCAGAAGGGACAAAAGGUAACCUCUAGAAGCUGAGGACCUCAGUUCAACAGCUGCGAAGAACUAAAUUCUGUCAACAACCAGUGACUUUGGAAGCAAACCCAGAGCCUCAGGUGAGAUUUAAGUAUCAACUGACAUCUCGAUUUCAGUCUAGUGAGACUGAACUUGAGACCCAUCUAACCCAUGCCUGGUCUCCUGACUCACAGAAAUGGCGAGGUAAUAAAUGUGUGUUAUUACAAGGCAGUAAGUUGAUGAUAAUUUAGUACUCAAUGAUAGAAAACAAAUACAGACCUAACAACAUAUUAAAGGUAAACAAAAACAAAAACAAAAAACAAACCAUAUAGUUAUUUAAAAAAAUCAACAUUAGAGGGGAAAAAAUAAAAUAAAACAUUAACUGCAAAUGGGAAGAGUUAGAGUUAAUAAUCAUUUUAAAUUAAUAUAAUGCUUUGGAGAAGUUGAAUUCAUAAAGACCAAUAAAAAAUACAGUUAAA